UUUUUAAAAGUCCUAUAGCCAAUCAGAAAUGAGCUUUUUCAUAAAAGUACAGUAUAAUCCAGUAAACCUGUAAUUUUAUGUAUAAGCUAGUCUCUGAUUGAAACAUGCAACAAAUGUCUUCUCAA
rnacentral:miRNA from 1 species